rnacentral:rRNA from 1 species
GACGAACGCUGGCGGCGUGCUUAACACAUGCAAGUCGAACGGAAAGGCCCUGCUUUUGUGGGGUGCUCGAGUGGCGAACGGGUGAGUAACACGUGAGUAACCUGCCCUUGACUUUGGGAUAACUUCAGGAAACUGGGGCUAAUACCGGAUAGGAGCUCCUGCUGCAUGGUGGGGGUUGGAAAGUUUCUGCGGUUGGGGAUGGACUCGCGGCUUAUCAGCUUGUUGGUGGGGUAGUGGCUUACCAAGGCUUUGACGGGUAGCCGGCCUGAGAGGGUGACCGGCCACAAUGGGACUGAGAUACGGCCCAGACUCCUACGGGAGGCAGCAGUGGGGAAUAUUGCACAAUGGGCGGAAGCCUGAUGCAGCAACGCCGCGUGCGGGAUGACGGCCUUCGGGUUAUAAACCGCUUUCGCCUGUGACGAAGCGUGAGUGACGGUAAUGGGUAAAGAAGCACCGGCUAACUACGUG